rnacentral:rRNA from 1 species
AUGUUCCGACCAGGUGAAAAUGGGCAAAUGGACCUUUAUGCCCCCAGUUCAAACUUUGAAUCAGCCCGUCUUCUUCCUCGGCGUCUUCCACCUCCGCCUCCAUCCCUGCCUUCCACCUCCGCCUCCUCCCCCGCCCUCCACCUCCACCCCUGCCCAGGCGCUCCUCCUCUCCCACGCCCAGGGGCCCCUCCUGGCCCGCGCGUGCCCAGGUGGUGCUCUGCUGCCGCCCGCUGGUGGAGGCGAGCUGGUGCUCUGCUGCCGGCCCCUGGUGGUGGCGAGCUGGUGCUCUGCUGCCGCCCACUGUUGGAGGCGAGCUGCCGCCUGCACGCGCCCAGGUGUUGUUCCUCCCCACGCACAGGUGCUGCUGCCGCUGAAGUCCUCGCCGCUGGACAGGAGCUGCUCCAGCCGGAGUUCUCAAUUUUGCUCGCCUAG